ACUGGAUGAGUGGUUUUGUGUAUGGACUGAGUGAAUACUUCAGGGCUCUAGGAAUAAGCAUUCUGGUUGCAAACACAGCAGCAGGAUUUGGUUAUGUGAUUUCCGCUGGAGCCCCGUCUAUCACAGCUGCACUAGCCCUAGCUCCUUUGUUAAUCAUGCCGCUGAUGAUGAAUGGAGGAUUUUUCUUAAAUAGUAGGUAUGGACGGUGCCAGAUUACUUCCUGUGGUUGAAAUACGCUUCAUGGUUCAUGUAUAGCAAUGAGUUAAUGAUCGUAAACCAGUGGACCAGUGUUCCUCAUAUAGGGUGUACUAACAACGGUACAUGCAUUCCAAAUGGAAACUUAGUCAUUAAAAGUUUAGGGUAUUCUAAGGACAACGAAGUCAUGGACUGGCUAUGUUUAGCUGCGCUAACUAUCGCCUUUAGAGUACUUUCAUUUAUAAUUCUAUUAAUCAAAGCAGAAUUAUCUAUGUGAAUAAAUGUUUUUAAAUU